rnacentral:rRNA from 1 species
CAGCGCCACAAGUGGGGAUCAUAUUUAUUGGGCCUAAAGCGUUCGUAGCUGGUUUAGUAAGUUUUGGGUGAAAUCGUUGCGCUUAACAAAACGACGUGCUCAAAAUACUGCUAGACUUGAGACCGGGAGGAGCUAGGAGUAUUCCUGAGGGAGCGGUAAAAUGCUAUAAGCUCAGGAGGACUACCUGUGGCGAAGGCGCCUAGCUAGAACGGGUCUGACAGUGAGGAACGAAAGCCAGGGGAGCAAACCGGAUUAGAUACCCGAGUAGUCC